rnacentral:misc_RNA from 1 species
AAAAAAAGGAAAAAGAAAAAGUGAAAAAGUGAUGACAUCAUCAUGCAUGACAUAAUGCAUGACAUAAUAAAUCUAAUUUUAAAUUUUGAAAAGUGGGAUAAUUAUCUACUUAAGUGACCAAUAAAAAAAAAGGAAUUAAAUUAAAACAAAAUUCAUUUUUAGGUCUUCUUCAUCCAUAUUGCCGUAGCUCUCCCUUGGUCACUCUCUCAUUUUCUUUCUUGAAACCUCCAUG